rnacentral:snRNA from 1 species
ACUAUGUGUGUAUGUGUGUGUUU